GCCAGCAGCCGCGGUAAUACGAAGGGUGCAAGCGUUACUCGGAAUUACUGGGCGUAAAGCGUGCGUAGGUGGUGGUUUAAGUCUGCUGUGAAAGCCCUGGGCUCAACCUGGGAAUUGCAGUGGAUACUGGAUCACUAGAGUGUGGUAGAGGGAUGCGGAAUUUCUGGUGUAGCAGUGAAAUGCGUAGAGAUCAGAAGGAACAUCCGUGGCGAAGGCGGCAUCCUGGGCCAACACUGACACUGAGGCACGAAAGCGUGGGGAGCAAACAGGAUUAGAUACCCUGGUAGUCCACGCCCUAAACGAUGCGAACUGGAUGUUGGGUGCAACUUGGCACCCAGUAUCGAAGCUAACGCGUUAAGUUCGCCGCCUGGGGAGUACGGUCGCAAGACUGAAACUCAAAGGAAUUGACGGGGGCCCGCACAAG
rnacentral:rRNA from 1 species